AGAUCCUUGGAGAGAGAAGAGGCAGAACAGUUCCUCAAGUCAGCAUGAGGCUUUGCUUACGGGACACUGUAGGAAGGACUGUGCCAUUCUGGCAGAAAUAAGGAACAAUUGUUCUGCCUGCUGUUCAACCUUCUCUUCAGGAAAAGACAUGGACCAGGGAGAUGAAAGAUCUUGUUCUUUAUGUGUGUCCAGCAUCUGGGACCAGAUGGGAUAUGGAAUAUCUGGGAUAUCCCAUGGGAUAUGGGAUAUCUGCCACCAUCUGGGAUAUGCCACCAACUAUGGGAAGCAACCUAUGUAAAAAUGAAGAAUGUGCUACAAAUGUGAUGGUCUUUUUCAAGAAUUUCUGCUUCCCAGAGAGAUUUGACAAUCCUGCUUCAGCACCAGCUGAGUUAUGGCCGGCAGUCUGGCCAGGAAUACUGGCUGAAAUGUGAAAUCUCUUCAGUCCCAUGGGUGGUCUUCUAGCAGCCUGUGUGGAGGCGAUGUGGUGUUUGCAGGCACACAGGAGCAGCUCCAGCCAUGUUGCCCCUGCAGCUGCUGCCGAAAGCUGGCUGGCCAGUGUGAUAAGGCUGGAACUGCUGAUGAUUGGUACUGCAAGACUUGUGUGGAAGGCUUUUGACUGUUUUCUGUACUUCUCCUAAAGAAAUAGCUAUGGUUGAAGGUGGUCAGGAUAGAAGACAGUAAAGAAUACACUCUGCACUCUGUAGAAACAGCAUGAGAGCUGGAAGGUUCUUUGAAGCUGUUGCAGGUGCUGUGGAGAUAUCAUGUGGUUGACUUCUGCCAAAUGGAUUCAGUGGAUGAAGUAACAGCCAAAGUCUCAAGUUGCUCUUCAGGAGACAGCAGAUUUUUUUUUUUCUCUGAUUUUUCCAUUCUUUUCUGCUUUCAGCAUUCCAUCCUUUGAAUCAUUUAAGAAGUCUGAAUUUCGAAACCAAAUACUCACUGAGAAAGUUAGGCAAUGCUGACCUAUAGCUAGGAAACAGCAGCCAUUUCUUCCAGAUGAAUGCAUCACUCUGUGCAUAUCUUGUCCUUGUACUUUGCCUCUGGCACAGUUGGCCACAGGAAAGGAAGAAUGACAGGGAGAUGGGUGCAUCUACUUCUCCUUGUGAGCAAACCUACCUACCCGAGUUCACCCCAUCUUUGCUUCCAUACUGCAUUACUCUGAAGAAAUCUCCUUUGAGUCACCCCAAAACAUCGAACCUACAGGACUUAUUAGAACUUAGCAGAAGGGACUUUAGUCUUUUUUUCAACAGCGCUUGGGUUCAUCCUGUUGGUUUGUACCAUUUUGAAGAGGGAUAUUGAGGACCAAGGGCUGUAUUCAUUAAGUGAUUUGGACAGUCUUACUUACAAAGCAAUUGCUUUUUCAACAGAUUCACAAGCAUGUUGUCCCAUCAUAUUUCUGAUGAACAACCAGAUGGGUACCAAUUCACUUCAGGGAGAUCAGGGGUGCUGUCCCAGACUGUCUUAAUACAAGUUUCCAGCUAUUUUCAGUUU